AAAAUGCGAUAAGUAAUGUGAAUUGCAGAAUUCAGUGAAUCAUCGAAUCUUUGAGCGCACAUUGCGCCCGCCAGUAUUCUGGCGGGCAUGCCUGUUCGAGCGUCAUUUCAACCCUCAAGCCCCCGGGUUUGGUGUUGGGGAUCGGGCUGCGGUUCUACCGCGUCCCGGCCCCGAAAUCUAGUGGCGGUCUCGCUGCAGCCUCCAUUGCGUAGUAGCUAACACCUCGCAACUGGAACGCGGCGCGGCCAAGCCGUUAAACCCCCAACUUCUGAAUGUUGACCUCGGAUCAGGUAGGAAUACCCGCUGAACUUAAGC
rnacentral:misc_RNA from 1 species